rfam:Pseudoalteromonas sp. OCN003 chromosome 1, complete sequence.
UGUUCCCUCGAGUGUUGGAGAAAGGUUACGUCCCUGAGCCGAUAAACUUUUCUUAGGAACUCAGUUCAGAUUGCUAUUGCGCAAGCUCGGCAUGUACCGAGAAGCCUACGGUAACUAACUGCGCUCCGCCUUGAGCCUUAGGGUUCAAGGGCUGACACCUGAUACCGCACUUUUGGGAACACC